UGCUCUCAGGAAACUUACAUUCCAGGAGACAUAGGCUACAGUGAUUGCUACCGCACCCAUUCACACAUGAAUUCACAAGAAUUCAGCUGGUGGUAAGUGCUCUAAGGAGAUUACACUGGGAGGUGGGUUGCUACAGCCUGGGGAACAGCUGAGCUAAGCCAAACCCUGGACAAUCAACAGGAGCCAGCCAUGCAGUGUUGCCGGCUGGGGACACGUGGAUGCAAAGGCCUUGAGGUGGGAAUGCCCUGCCACCAAACUGGCCGGAGUUGCUCUCCCCUCCCAGAUAAGGGAAGGAGGGGGUGGGUGGAGGCGGCGAAGGGCAGUGCAUUUGGAUUGGACUGAGAGGGAUUCCAGUGGAGCUGACUUGCCUAGACGAGCGAGGUGCGCAGCGGCCUCCGAAGGAAGAGGCCUGAACCUGAGUUCGGAAGAGGGCACAGGAGGGCCGGCCAGGGACAGGCGGAGAGGAGCAGCUGGGAAGGACAAUAGGAUAUUCCCCCUUCCCAGGGGAAGAAAGUCACAGAGGGGAUGCUCAGGUGUGGACUCCCUCUCCUUCUGGCUCACAGACAAGAGGUUGACACCUUUCUGUCUGAGGCUCACACAGAACUCAAAAGGAGCAACAGCUUUGCUCAGCGGAUCACAGGCAGGAGUGACCCAACAAGCAUUGUACUGGGCAUGACUUCCUGAGAUCUCAGACCAGGUGAAGGAAGGAGCUGAGUUGAAAUGGAAAUAAUCUACGGCGUUGACUGUCUAGACAGCGCUCGAUUUUCUGGAUGGGGAGGAAAGCAGACAGAAGCCGGCUUUGGCCAAAGCUGAAACCCAAGCCAUCAUCACCCGUCCUCCGAGCCAUCCUCAGACUUGGCUGUCUGGGCUGGCGCCAGAAUUGGCCUGGGGCUGUUUCUUGCUCCAGUUUCAAAGGAUUCAGGCUUCCACGGAGGGAAAAGCUUGAAUUUUUCACAGUGAGAAAUUUAAUGAAAGAUACCAUUCCAGGAAUCACACUAUGAACAUAAAUCUUUGUGCAUCUUGCCACACACCCCUCUGGUGUUUUUAUUAGGGCAGAUUCCUAGAAGGGGAAUGAUUCCUGGGUCAGAGAAUAUGACUACUUGUAAAGCUCCUGGUCUUCACCGCACAGCUUUAGUGUUCAUCUUAUGAUCCAUACACCCUGAAUAAAUAAACAAGCAGGACUCUGUCCCAGAGACUGCUUAGGAUUUUCUACAGAUGAUAGUUGUUUCACCAUUUGAUGACAUCACCUCCCUUUUCACACCAAGAUUGAUGUGGGAAAUUCUGUAUAAAUACCCUGCAUCAACAAACCAUUGGGUCAGCAGGCCUCUUAAAGAUGGGCACCUCGAUGCGGUGUGGCUGGCCCGGCCCACACAGGACAGGCGCCUGUGAUUUAUAAGAUCCAAACAUGAAGUCUUCAGGAAAGCUGAAGUACUUUAUAGGUCACCUGGAUUUUUCCUACCAUAGAUGUUUUGACUCACAGGUUUCCUUUAUGUCACUCUGUCCAUAGUCUAGGUAUUAUUAAAAUGGAAUAAAGAGGUUACUGUAGCAGAGGCCGAGUAGCACACAGGAGGGAGUUUGUGAUUCUAAGUGAGAGAAUAAAGAAGUAACAGGUGAGGGAAUUAAUUAAGACAAACAUUGGCAGCCAGGCAACCAAGUAUUCAUUGCAUGAGGGCCAUUGGCCUAACUUUGUGCUCAGAGCUGUCAGCUGGCUCAUUUGGUCACACAUUCAAUAUCCUUUCCCAGGCGCAGACUCUCUCCAGACCUUGGGCUCUCUGUCCCGGGUGAGCGGGACUGGAGAGAAGAGAGACACUGUCCUGCUCUCAAGGGGCUUGCCGCCUAGGAGAGGAGAAGCCAGAUCAUGAGUGUAACAUCUGCUGGAGCUCCUCCUCUCGCUUGGGGAAGGCUCUGUGAAGGUGGUGAGCAGGGUGCCUGCAGUACAAAUUGUACCAGUUAGGAGGCUGAGGCGGGCAAAGUUUCACCAGGUAGAGGAACUGGCGUAAGCCAAGGCACAUGAUUCUGUCAGCGUAUCAGCAAGGAUUUAGCAUGCGUGCCCCACAUAUCCAGGACUGAGUAGGGAGUGUAUUUCAUACUCCAGUGUUUAACUGGGAAGGUUGUGAGAGGACUGGCUGCAUAAAAUUAUCAAAUGAUUCUCUUCUGUCUCCAUGAUGAAUUCCAUGUCUUACCUAAGCAUACAAGAAUCCAUUAGUCUUUGCUGUGUAACAAAUAACCCCCAAAUCUCAGUGGCGUACCCCAGUAAGCAUUUAUUCUCCUUGCUCAUGCAUCUAUGGGGUGCCUGGGAAGUGGCCACUAUUGGCCGGGAGGGCUCCCCUCCGGGCUCUGUGUCGGGUUCCAGGUCUGCCUCGUAUACCUCAUCCUCCUUGGGUCAGUAGUUGUGUAAAGCACAUUCUUCUCAUGGCAAAAGGCAGGAGUACAAGAGGACGGCCCAAAUCUCAGAAGUAUGUUUCAAACCUUUGCCCUCCUGAUGGCAUCCAGAGGUCAAAGUAAGUCACAUGGUAAACACAAAGGGCAGGGAUGCUGAGGGCCAUGGCAAAGUGGGGCUGUAAGAUACUCACCUGUAAUCUGGCCCCUGCAGACCUUACCUGCCUCACCUGUUCUUCUUUCUGACACCUUGGCUGUAGCCACACAAGGCCACUUGUAUCCUCUGGACAUGCCAUGAUUUUUCACACUGUAUCUGUGCACAUGCUCUUCAGUGGGCCUAGAACGGUCUUCCCUACCUCACCCACCGCAUCAACCCCAUCACUUCAUGUCUGAAUAAGCAAGGCCUGGCUCCAGGGGUUAGGGGACAUUCUUAUUUGUCUUCCUUUUCCUCUCCAUACCUGUGGGUAGAAAGAAGGAUUUGGGCCCUUCCUGGGUCCAGUUCUCCCUCAUGGUUGUUCUCUGCUCUCCACCACCAUCUUUUCCUCCCUCUGUUGUACUUAUUCUCUGCAUGCAUUGGUAUGGUGAUAUUAAGUUAAGAUUUGGAGUAGGGACAUGUGGCCUUACUUUGACCUCGAAUCUUGUCUAGGGUGCCCUGCAUUUUAUAAGAGUCAUGUGAGAUGCUGUUUAUAAAAUGGAUCCUCUUUCUCUUCUGCUCUUGCCUCUUAGGUUCUCUCUGGUGGGAGGGUGGUGGUAAAAGGCAGGAUCUAGGCAUGCCUGGGUCCCGUGAGGACCUCGUGACUCCAUCGAAUAGUUCCCCCCAUCCACCUCAACCUCAGGCAUGGAGUGGGUUUCACAGAAUAGUGGUCAACAAGUUUUGGGUAGAUGAAUGAAUGAAUGAGUUAAUGCAUGCGUGAAUGAGUGAAUUAAUGGACCGAUGCAUCUCCUCCGUCUGGCUUUCUGCUCACUGUCAGGGCCUUGGUGAAAUCUAGCAGUUGAGUUUUCAAAGGCAGGAGUGUUGGAUCAGCAAUGAGAAAACAUGGACCUGCACAUCUUGGCUUUUAAAGCUUUCAGCAGCAGCCACAGAAAGUGGUUCUGAGGCACAGGCAUGUUUGCAAGCGGACCCAGCCUGGGAGUGGGACUUGUUUUUAAGCAUCCUGUUUGGAGAGAUUCUAGAAAGUUAUAGAGCUCUGGGGAACCAGCCUGGGGCCACUCCUAGCUCACUUAGUGCAAGUGUUGUCUUUAAGGGACUCUAAUUCCCUUUAUAAAGAGCUUUCUAUUUUUAUUUUUAAACGGAGUGUGGUUAACAUUAAUGUUCAACAGGUCAAGCAGUUCCAGCCAUUACUGAUAAUAA